AGAGUUUGAUCCUGGCUCAGAAUCAACGCUGGCGGCGUGCCUAACACAUGCAAGUCGAACGAGAAAGGGGAGCAAUCCCUGAGUAAAGUGGCGCACGGGUGAGUAACACGUGACUAACCUACCCUUGAGUGGGGGAUAACUUCGGGAAACCGAGGCUAAUACCGCAUAAUACCUACGGGUCAAAGGAGCAAUUCGCUCAAGGAGGGGGUCGCGGCCGAUUAGUUAGUUGGCGGGGUAAUGGCCCACCAAGACGAUGAUCGGUAUCCGGCCUGAGAGGGCGCACGGACACACUGGAACUGAAACACGGUCCAGACUCCUACGGGAGGCAGCAGUGGGGAAUUUUGCGCAAUGGGGGAAACCCUGACGCAGCAACGCCGCGUGGAGGAUGAAGUCCUUCGGGACGUAAACUCCUUUCGAUCGGGACGAUUAUGACGGUACCGGAAGAAGAAGCCCCGGCUAACUUCGUGCCAGCAGCCGCGGUAAUACGAGGGGGGCGAGCGUUGUUCGGAAUUAUUGGGCGUAAAGGGUGCGUAGGCGGUUUGGUAAGUCUGAUGUGAAAUCUAUGGGCUCAACUCAUAGUCUGCAUUAGAAACUGCCGGGCUUGAGUAUGGGAGAGGUGAGUGGAAUUCCUGGUGUAGCGGUGAAAUGCGUAGAUAUCAGGAGGAACACCUGUGGCGAAAGCGGCUCACUGGACCAUAACUGACGCUGAUGCACGAAAGCUAGGGGAGCAAACAGGAUUAGAUACCCCGGUAGUCC
rnacentral:rRNA from 1 species